AGCGAACGCUGGCGGCAGGCCUAACACAUGCAAGUCGAGCGGGGUUUUCGGACCUAGCGGCGGACGGGUGAGUAAUGCGUAGGAAGCUGCCCGAUAGAGGGGGAUACCAGUUGGAAACGACUGUUAAUACCGCAUAAUGUCUACGGACCAAAGUGUGGGACCUUCGGGCCACAUGCUAUCGGAUGCGCCUACGUGGGAUUAGCUAGUUGGUGAGGUAAUGGCUCACCAAGGCGACGAUCUCUAGCUGGUUUGAGAGGAUGAUCAGCCACACUGGAACUGAGACACGGUCCAGACUCCUACGGGAGGCAGCAGUGGGGAAUAUUGGACAAUGGGCGCAAGCCUGAUCCAGCCAUGCCGCGUGUGUGAAGAAGGCCUUCGGGUUGUAAAGCACUUUCAGCGAGGAGGAAGGGAUGUAUGUUAAUAGCAUGCAUUUUUGACGUUACUCGCAGAAGAAGCACCGGCUAACUCUGUGCCAGCCGCCGCAGUAAGAC
rnacentral:rRNA from 1 species